rnacentral:tRNA from 1 species
GGGGGUAUAGCUCAGUGGAAGAGCACCCGCAUACGUAUCGGAAGGUCGGGGGUUCGACUCCCUCUGCCUCCA